rnacentral:rRNA from 1 species
GACGAACGCUGGCGGCGUGCUUAACACAUGCAAGUCGAACGGAAAGGCCCCUUUGGGGGUACUCGAGUGGCGAACGGGUGAGUAACACGUGAGUAACCUGCCCUUGACUUCGGGAUAACUUCAGGAAACUGGGGCUAAUACCGGAUAGGAAUCCUUGCUGCAUGGUGGGGGUUGGAAAGCUUCGGCGGUUUUGGAUGGACUCGCGGCUUAUCAGCUUGUUGGUGGGGUAGUGGCUUACCAAGGCUUUGACGGGUAGCCGGCCUGAGAGGGCGACCGGCCACAUUGGGACUGAGAUACGGCCCAGACUUCUACGGGAGGCAGCAGUGGGGAAUAUUGCACAAUGGGCGGAAGCCUGAUGCAGCAACGCCGCGUGCGGGAUGACGGCCUUCGGGUUGUAAACCGCUUUCAGCAGGGGCGAAGCUUGUGGUGACGGUACCUGCAGAAGAAGCACCGGCUAACUACGUG